AACGAACGCUGGCGGCAUGCCUAACACAUGCAAGUCGAACGACACCUUCGGGUCUAGUGGCGCACGGGUGCGUAACGCGUGGGAACCUGCCCUUAGGUUCGGAAUAACUCCCCGAAAGGGGUGCUAAUACCGGAUAAUGUCUUCGGACCAAAGAUUUAUCGCCUUUGGAUGGGCCCGCGUUGGAUUAGCUAGUUGGUAGGGUAAAAGCCUACCAAGGCGACGAUCCAUAGCUGGUCUGAGAGGAUGAUCAGCCACACUGGGACUGAGACACGGCCCAGACUCCUACGGGAGGCAGCAGUGGGGAAUAUUGGACAAUGGGCGAAAGCCUGAUCCAGCAAUGCCGCGUGAGUGAUGAAGGCCUUAGGGUUGUAAAGCUCUUUUACCCGGGAUGAUAAUGACAGUACCGGGAGAAUAAGCUCCGGCUAACUCCGUG
rnacentral:rRNA from 1 species